rnacentral:tRNA from 1 species
CGUUGCAUAGCUUAACCAAAAGCGCCCCGCUUACACCGGGGGGAUACCUGUGAAAUUCAGGUUGCUUCGA